GUCCAGACUCCUACGGGAGGCAGCAGUGGGGAAUAUUGGGCAAUGGGCGCAAGCCUGACCCAGCAACGCCGCGUGAAGGAAGAAGGCCCUCGGGUUGUAAACUUCUUUUAUCAGGGACGAAACAAAUGACGGUACCUGAUGAAUAAGCCACGGCUAACUACGUGCCAGCAGCCGCGGUAAUACGUAGGGAGCAAGCGUUGUCCGGAAUUACUGGGUGUAAAGGGAGCGUAGGCGGGGAUGCAAGUUGGGUGUCAAAACUACCGGCUCAACCGAUAGUCGCACUCAAAACUGCAGCUCUUGAGUGAAGUAGAGGCAGGCGGAAUUCCUAGUGUAGCGGUGAAAUGCGUAGAUAUUAGGAGGAACACCGGUGGCGAAGGCGGCCUGCUGGACUGCGACUGACGUUGAGGCCCGAAAGCGUGGGGAGCAAACAGGAUUAGAUACCCGCGUA
rnacentral:rRNA from 1 species